GACGGAGGGUGCAAACGUUGUUCGGAAUCACUGGGCAUAAAGAGCACGUAGGCUGCGCGCUAAGUCAGGUGUGAAAUCCCCCGGCUCAACCGGGGAACUGCACCUGAUACUGGCGUGCUCGAGGACGGUAGGGGUGAGUGGAACUCCAGGUGGAGCGGUGAAAUGCGUAGAUAUCUGGAGGAACACCGGUGGCGAAAGCGGCUCACUGGACCGUCUCUGACGCUGAGGUGCGAAAGCUAGGGUAGCAAACGGGAUUAGAUACCCCGGUAGUCCUAGCCGUAAACGAUGGGCACUAGGCAAUGGGAUUACCUAUGGAUCUCCUUGCCGGAGCUAAUGUAUUAAGUGCCCCGCCUGGGGAGUACGCUCGCAAGGGUGAA
rnacentral:rRNA from 1 species